CGCGCUUCGGAGAGGGAAGAGCCGCGGCCAAUCCGCGAGCGGCAGGGCGGAGCCAAGGGUCAGGCCGGAGAGCUCGCCGCGCACAGCGAGGGACGCUAGGGGGCAGCCCUGUCUUCCAUAAAGCCCAAUGAGUCGGCUGCGUAAACAGGAGAGGGUAGGGGUUUUUUUUAGCCAUCUGCUUGAGGCGAUUCAACUUUGCUUUGUGCUCUAACAACUCCACAGAUUAGGAACCUAACUGUAUUUUCUGGAACUGCAAUUCCCAGCAUUCCUAAUGGCAGAGUUUGGGAUGGUGAAUGAUGAUGUGAUGCAACAGAGGGAAUUGAUGGAAAUGUAUGCAGUACCCAUUUUGGACAAUGGAAAGAACCCAGGUGUCGGUAGUGAUGGAUUGCCAGGCAGGCUGGAAGCUUUGAUGCAUGGACACAAAACAAAUUUGCUCAGUGACCUGUAGGGCGAGACAGAAAUCCUUGCCAGCUCUGCAAAUGACCCAGCACUGAUUCUCGCUGUUCGUGUGCGCUCAGCAACCUUUCCUAAUUUCCAUUAUGCAGCCUGAAAUUUUUUUUGGACACACAGACUAGAGCUCUGUCCAGCGCCUGGCAAAGCAUUUUUGAAUCUCAUGUUAAGCACUAUCAAGUACAGACGGAGCACAGCAGCAAUACCGGGGAACACUUCAAUUAGGUGUUGGUCACAAUUAAGUUAAAGAACAUCUGCAUGUUGCAUUUUAGAUGACGUGUUUUCUUCUGUGUUCUGGGAUUUCCUAAGAUGCAAAUAUUCUUUUAACUGGUAACAUUUGUUUACUAAUUUGUAGUCAAUAUUUUUGUAAUAUAAGUUUAAUACUAUCCUCAUCAAUUUCAGAACCGUCACCAGUUCUGGGAGGAAUUUGAACUUUUUCAUAAUUGCCCAAAUGGGUCAAUCCUCUUGCAUAACUGUUUAUCAAGCAGUCAUAGUUGAUAUAGAAUGUCUAUCCUAAUUUUGUCAGCUCCUCUCAAUGAAGCACUACUUGUUCCAUCUGAAAUGUUCCUUUUAACAAUGCAUUUGGAUGAAUCAGAAUAAUUUGAGGUGUUAUCUUCACACAAACCUUCUGAGUAUGAUUCACAGUAUGCAAUCCUAUCAGCUGAAUCUUGUCUGAGUUCUUUAACAAACAAAAAGAUGAUGGUAGAAGAUAAGCUUCAAAUACAUCAAAAACUAGGAGCCUGCAGUUUUUUUUUUUGAAACGCUCUAGCACUUCUUCCCAAAUGACUGUUAAAACAGCAUAUUCCACUUUUGCCAAACUUAUGGUAUAAAUUAUUUGCAUCUCAUUAACGUUCAGACUUCUGAGUUGUCAAAAUGUGUUUGAGUCUGUAAAAUACUCAUAUAUCAAUUUUUAAUUGCCCAGACCACUUCACACGUAGUGUGCGGACUAUCUAGUUAAACUUAGGCUCUUUAGAGAAAAGUGUAGAUUGUUCUGUAUGUUUAAAAUUCUCUAUCUUUGUAGAGAUCCAGAGAACAUACACCUCCUGCAAAUGCCAAAAUAGUCAAUAACUUCAGGUACAGUAGACACUGCCUUUUCUCCAACAUGUUUAAGCAAAUUGGUUGCACAUGAUACAUAGCCUGCAUGCCUGUUGUUUUAAAAGAGUGCUGGCAGACUUUUCUCCAAGCCCUUCAUGCUAGAUGAAGUAUCGCAAGAUUGGCCAUUGAUAUUUUCAAGUGAAAGCAUAUGUUCACCCAAGACGUCUUGAAUUUUGUUUAACAAAGUCAUGGAUGAAUGAUAAAAAAUGUUAAAAAUGUCCCACAGUUUUUCAUUAUAACACUGUCAAAAUAUAAUUACAUGUCAAGACAGUCAUGCAAUCAACAAUGGAGCAGUACUUUUGUGUCUAGAUGGUUAAUUUGGUUCACAAUUUCAUCUUGCACAUGUUUUCCCAUGAUUUCCAUCAAUUCUUCAUAAACUGUUUUGGGUAGGGAAGUAGCAUUUACUUUUUAAUUUUUACAUUUCUUGAGAUCUUCAUGUAAAACGGGGUAAAACUCUACAUUAAGUUCAAGGGCCCCCGAAGUUUCCAUUAUUUAGUGAGCCCCGCUUUAGUGAUGGUCACUCAAAGCCUUCAGCUCCUACAGUCCCCCAAAGCAACAAUCUGUCAAGAGGCAAGCUGAUGUACGGAGGUGGCAAGGCAAGAAGCAAUAUGUAUUUGUGUGGGUGUAUUGGAUCAGGGAACUCUUACAUCAUGCUUGCCAACCAAUCUUUGCUUUUAACUCUCAUGCUUCCACUGCUUGGCUCUUUCUUUGCCUCCCAAGGAAUGCCACCCAACUCUCCUCCUUUUGCAACCUUGAACUUUCUGACAUAUAACCAAAGGGUGCCCUGGAAAAGCCACCACCUCUGCUGUCACACUGCUCCCUCUUUCACUAUGUGUUAGUGGAGGUGCUGUUUAACUAUCUACCCAUAUCACUCAAUCGAGUCAGGAGAUGAGGCUGA